rnacentral:rRNA from 1 species
GAGGAUCCAUUGGAGGGCAAGUCUGGUGCCAGCAGCCGCGGUAAUACCAGCUCCAAUAGCGUAUGUUAAAGUUGUUGCAGUUAAAAAGCUCGUAGUUGGACUUGUGUGCGCCGGACGCGACGAUCUGCGACCAAAAGGUCGUUACGAUCAGUCGGUCCUGGCGCCGUAAAAUUUGCAACUGGGUCGUUGCUGGCCUUAACUGGUCGGCGGCGUCUGCUCGGUUGCUCGUUUACUGUGAGAAAAUUGGAGUGUUCAAGGCAGGCAUUAUUGCAACUGAACAUGUUAGCAUGGAAUAAUAAGAUAGGGCUCCGGCUCCAUUUUGUUGGUUUCUAGAGCGUGGGAGUAAUGAUUGAUAGGGACAGUUGGGGGUGCUAGUAUUCAGCGGCCAGAGGUGAAAUUCAUGGAUUCGCUGAAGACUGACUUAUGCGAAAGCAUUCACCAAGGAUGUCCUCUUUAAUCAAGAACGAAAGUUGGGGGAUCGAAGACGAUCAGAUACCGUCGUAGUCUCAACCAUAAACUAUGUCGACUAGGGAUUGGCGGUCGUUUUUUAUAUAAGACUCCGUCAGCACCUUGUGAGAAAUCAAAGUGUUUGGACUCUUGGGGAAGUAUGGUCGCAAGGCUGAAACUUAAAGGAAUUGACGGAAGGGC